GCCGACGUAGCUCCAACGGUAGAGCAAUCCACUCGUAAUGGAUAGGUUGCCAGUUCGAAUCUGGCCGUCGGCA
rnacentral:tRNA from 1 species